UUUAUGGAGAGUUUGAUCCUGGCUCAGGAUGAACGCUGGCGGCGUGCCUAAUACAUGCAAGUCGAGCGAACAGAUAAGGAGCUUGCUCCUUUGACGUUAGCGGCGGACGGGUGAGUAACACGUGGGUAACCUACCUAUAAGACUGGGAUAACUUCGGGAAACCGGAGCUAAUACCGGAUAAUAUGUUGAACCGCAUGGUUCAAAAGUGAAAGACGGUCUUGCUGUCACUUAUAGAUGGAUCCGCGCUGCAUUAGCUAGUUGGUAAGGUAACGGCUUACCAAGGCAACGAUGCAUAGCCGACCUGAGAGGGUGAUCGGCCACACUGGAACUGAGACACGGUCCAGACUCCUACGGGAGGCAGCAGUAGGGAAUCUUCCGCAAUGGGCGAAAGCCUGACGGAGCAACGCCGCGUGAGUGAUGAAGGUCUUCGGAUCGUAAAACUCUGUUAUUAGGGAAGAACAUAUGUGUAAGUAACUGUGCACAUCUUGACGGUACCUAAUCAGAAAGCCACGGCUAACUACGUGCCAGCAGCCGCGGUAAU
rnacentral:rRNA from 1 species